GAUGAACGCUAGCGGCAGGCUUAAUACAUGCAAGUCGUGGGGCAGCAUGAAUGUAGCAAUACAUUUGAUGGCGACCGGCAAACGGGUGCGGAACGCGUACACAACCUUCCUAUAAGUGGGGAAUAGCCCAGAGAAAUUUGGAUUAAUACCCCGUAACAUAAUGAUGUGGCAUCACAUUAUUAUUAUAGCUUCGGCGCUUAUUGAUGGGUGUGCGGCUGAUUAGAUAGUUGGCGGGGUAACGGCCCACCAAGUCUACGAUCAGUAGCUGAUGUGAGAGCAUGAUCAGCCACACGGGCACUGAGACACGGGCCCAACUCCUACGGGAGGCAGCAGUAAGGAAUAUUGGUCAAUGGACGCAAGUCUGAACCAGCCAUGCCGCGUGAAGGAUUAAGGUCCUCUGGAUUGUAAACUUCUUUUAUCUGGGACGAAAAAAGGCGAUUCUUCGUCACUUGACGGUACCAGAUGAAUAAGCACCGGCUAACUCCGUGCCAGCCGCCGCUGUAAGAC
rnacentral:rRNA from 1 species